rnacentral:rRNA from 1 species
UAAGGAAUAUUGGUCAAUGGACGCAAGUCUGAACCAGCCAUGCCGCGUGGAGGAUGAAGGCCCUCUGGGUUGUAAACUUCUUUUAUGGGGGACGAAACCCUGGAUUUUUAUCCAGCCUGACGGUACCCCAGGAAUAAGCACCGGCUAACUCCGUGCCAGCAGCCGCGGUAAUACGGAGGGUGCAAGCGUUAUCCGGAUUCACUGGGUUUAAAGGGUGCGUAGGCGGGUUUGUAAGUCAGUGGUGAAAUCCCGAAGCUUAACUUCGGAACUGCCGUUGAUACUACAGGUCUUGAAUACUCGGGAGGUGAGCGGAAUAUGUCAUGUAGCGGUGAAAUGCUUAGAUAUGACAUAGAACACCGAUUGCGAAGGCAGCUCACUACAGAGU